GCCUGGAUAGUUCAGUCGGUGGAGCACCAGACUUUUAACCUGAGGCUCCAGGGUUCGAGCCCCCGUUCAGGCA
rfam:TPA: Bos taurus chromosome 6, whole genome shotgun sequence.